rnacentral:rRNA from 1 species
AUUGAACGCUGGCGGCAUGCCUUACACAUGCCAGUCGAACGGCAGCACGGGAGUAAUCCUGGUGGCGAGUGGCGAACGGGUGAGUAAAGCAUCGGAACGUGCCCAGUCGUGGGGGAUAACGUAGCGAAAGCUACGCUAAUACCGCAUACGAUCUGUGGAUGAAAGCGGGGGACCGUAAGGCCUCGCGCGAUUGGAGCGGCCGAUGUCAGAUUAGGUAGUUGGUGAGGUAAAGGCUCACCAAGCCGACGAUCUGUAGCUGGUCUGAGAGGACGACCAGCCACACUGGGACUGAGACACGGCCCAGACUCCUACGGGAGGCAGCAGUGGGGAAUUUUGGACAAUGGGCGCAAGCCUGAUCCAGCAAUGCCGCGUGCAGGAUGAAGGCCUUCGGGUUGUAAACUGCUUUUGUACGGAGCGAAAAGGCUUCCACUAAUACUGGGGGCUCAUGACGGUACCGUAAGAAUAAGCACCGGCUAACUACGUG